UGGGGAAUCUUGGACAAUGGGGGCAACCCUGAUCCAGCCAUGCCGCGUGAGUGAUGAAGGCCUUAGGGUCGUAAAGCUCUUUCGCCUGUGAAGAUAAUGACGGUAACCGUAGAAGAAGCCCCGGCUAACUCCGUGCCAGCAGCCGCGGUAAUACGAAGGGUGCUAGCGUUGUUCGGAAUUACUGGGCGUAAAGCGCACGUAGGCGGACCAGAAAGUUGGGGGUGAAAUCCCGGGGGGCUCAACCCCGGAACUGCCUCCAAAACUAUUGGUCUAGAGUUCGAGAGAGGUGAGUGGAAUUCCAAGUGUAGAGGUGAAAUUCGUAGAUAUUUGGAGGAACACCAGUGGCGAAGGCGGCUCACUGGCUCGAUACUGACGCUGAGGUGCGAAAGUGUGGGGAGCAAACAGGAUUAGAUACCCUGGUAGUCCACACCGUAAAACGAUGAAUGCCAGUCGUCGGGUAGCAUGCUAUUCGGUGACACACCUAACGGAUUAAG
rnacentral:rRNA from 1 species